AUGUCCUAGUUUUUCGUCAUCAUUAUGCAAUACCCGGCCGUAUAAAAAGGCCACCUUUUCGUAGUAGAUUCAGUCUGGGGUUCACAGGCAUAACUACUACUUCUCUUCUAACCAGGAUGGUUUUACGUUUCUAUGUUCUAUGUGGAUAAUAAUAAAGAAGCAAAACAGGAACCAAGAUGGAAAAAUUAAUUAUUUAUUAGCAUUAAUGAUUCUAAUUAUUGCUCAAUAGUAUCAUUCGGAAACAAACUUAAACCUUAACAGAGACUUGCGCAUAGAUAUUUGUCUGAAAUCCAGAAUUUGGUUCGAGCCGAAGAUUCAAGGCUUGUCACUUCACUCCAGUCUACCCUAUACAACAUUAACAAUAGUGAAAUUUAAAUAAUUUUAAUAUUUAAAUAAUGAUAUAAUAUUUACGAAAAAAAUUUAUUAUAAUUGAUAAAAUGUUCCAAAGUUCUAUGUAAAAUAAUGGUCCAUGUUACAGACUGUUAUCUGAACACUGUUACCUGUUCCAGACUAUUAUCCUGAACACUGUUACCUGCUCCAGACUAUUAUCCUGAACACUGUUACUUGUUCCAGACUAAUAUCUUGAAUGCUGUUACCUAUUCCAGCCUAUUAUCCUGAACACUUUUCCAUGUUCCAGGCUAGUAAAUUUAAUACUGUUACCUGUUCCAGACUAUUAUCCUUAACACUGUUACCUGUUAUUAGUCUGUACACUGUUUUCUGUUACAGACUAUCAUUCUGAACACUGUUACCUGUUCCAGACUUUCAUCCUGAACACUGUUACCUGUUCCAGACUAUUAUCAUAAACAGUGUUAAAUGUUCCAGACAAUUAUAUUAAACACUGUUACCUGUUCCAGACUAUUAUUCUAAACACUGCUACCAGUUUCAGACUAAUUAUUAUCCUGAACACUGUUACCUGUUUCAGACUAGCUAUUAUCCGAAACACUGUUACUCGUUCCAGACUAUUAUCCUAAACAGUGUUAACUGUUACCGACUAUUAUAUUUAACACUGUUAUUUGUUCCAGACUAUUAUUUCGAAUACUGUUACCGGUUCCAGACUAUUAUCCUGAACACUGUUACCUGUUCCAGACUAUUAAAUUUAAUACUGUUACCUGUUCCAGACUAUUAUCCUUAACACUGUUACCUGUUAUUAGUCUGUACACUGUUUUCUGUUACAGACUAUCAUUCUGAACACUGUUACCUGUUCCAGACUAUUAUCCUGAACAUUGUUACCUGUUCCAGACUAUUACUUUAAACAGUAUUCCUCCAGUUCUAUCUUUGAAACGGGUUCCAACUGACAUUGCUGCAACAAGACUUGUGCUCAACCCAACCUAAAUUAUAUAUAUUACAAGUUCUGUAAAAUUCAAAAAAGACAUCCAAAUUCACAAGCUAUUUUUUCCCGUAAUAUGGUACACUGUUUUAUGGCUUACUAGAAGGCAUAUUGGAAGAAGGUGAAAAAAGUGCAAAAAAGUUAGGCCAUAUUAAAAAGCUUAGUCACAAGUAAAACCUAUAUGUAUUUUCUUUAAAGGAGGACAGGACUUUAUAAUGAAUGGAAUUAACUGAAUAAAUUGUAUAAGGAAUGGUAA